UCCAGACUCCUACGGGAGGCAGCAGUCGGGAAUAUUGCGCAAUGGAGGAAACUCUGACGCAGUGACGCCGCGUAUAGGAAGAAGGUUUUCGGAUUGUAAACUAUUGUCGUUAGGGAAGAUAAAAGACAGUACCUAAGGAGGAAGCUCCGGCUAACUACGUGCCAGCAGCCGCGGUAAUACGUAGGGGGCAAGCGUUAUCCGGAUUUACUGGGUGUAAAGGGAGCGUAGACGGUUACGCAAGUCUGGAGUGAAAGGCGGGGGCCCAACCCCCGGACUGCUCUGGAAACUAUUUGACUGGAGUGCAGGAGAGGUAAGCGGAAUUCCUAGUGUAGCGGUGAAAUGCGUAGAUAUUAGGAGGAACACCAGUGGCGAAGGCGGCUUACUGGACUGUAACUGACGUUGAGGCUCGAAAGCGUGGGGAGCAAACAGGAUUAGAUACCCGGGUA
rnacentral:rRNA from 1 species